UUCCACUUUAGGAGGCCACCAUAGUCUGG
rnacentral:piRNA from 1 species